GACGAACGCUGGCGGCGUGCUUAACACAUGCAAGUCGAACGGUAAGGCCCUUCGGGGUACACGAGUGGCGAACGGGUGAGUAACACGUGGGUGAUCUGCCCUGCACUUCGGGAUAAGCCUGGGAAACUGGGUCUAAUACCGGAUAGGACCACUGCCUGCAUGGGUGGUGGUGGAAAGCUUUUGCGGUGUGGGAUGGGCCCGCGGCCUAUCAGCUUGUUGGUGGGGUGAUGGCCUACCAAGGCGACGACGGGUAGCCGGCCUGAGAGGGUGACCGGGCACACUGGGACUGAGAGACGGCCCAGACUCCUAGGGGAGGCAGCAGUGGGGAAUAUUGCGCAAUGGGCGCAAGCCUGAUGCAGCGACGCCGCGUGAGGGAUGACGGCCUUCGGGUUGUAAACCUCUUUCAGCACCGACGAAGCGCAAGUGACGGUAGGUGCAGAAGAAGGACCGGCCAACUACGUGCCAGCAGCCGCCGUAA
rnacentral:rRNA from 1 species